rnacentral:rRNA from 1 species
UACGUAGGGUCCGAGCGUUGUCCGGAAUUACUGGGCGUAAAGAGCUCGUAGGUGGUUUGUCGCGUUGUUCGUGAAAACUCACAGCUCAACUGUGGGCGUGCGGGCGAUACGGGCAGACUUGAGUACUGCAGGGGAGACUGGAAUUCCUGGUGUAGCGGUGGAAUGCGCAGAUAUCAGGAAGAACACCUAUGGCGAAGGCAGCUCUCUGGGACGGUACUGACGCUGAGACGCGAAAGCGUGGGGAGCGAACAGG